GGAGAGGUGUCCGAGCGGUUGAAGGAGCACGCCUGGAAAGUGUGUAUACGGCAACGUAUCGAGGGUUCGAAUCCCUCUCUCUCCGCCA
rnacentral:tRNA from 1 species